UACGUAGGGCGCAAGCGUUGUCCGGAAUUAUUGGGCGUAAAGAGCUCGUAGGCGGCCUGUUGCGUCCGCUGUGAAAUCCCGGGGCUCAACCCCGGGCGUGCAGUGGAUACGGGCUGGCUGGAGGCAGGCAGGGGAGAACGGAAUUCCUGGUGUAGCGGUGAAAUGCGCAGAUAUCAGGAGGAACACCGGUGGCGAGGCGGUUCUCUGGGCUUGUACUGACGCUGAGGAGCGAAAGCGUGGGGAGCGAACAGG
rnacentral:rRNA from 1 species